rnacentral:rRNA from 1 species
GUCAAGUCCUCAUGGCCCUUACGCCCAGGGUGGCAAACGUGCUACAAUGGCGUGUACAAAGCGAUGCAAUAUCGUGAGAUGGAGCAAAUCGCAAAAAGCACGCCCCAGUUCGGAUUGGAGUCUGAAACUCGACUCCAUGAAGCCGGAAUCGCUAGUAAUCGGAGAUCAGCCACGCUCCGGUGAAUACGUUCCUGAGCCUUGUACACACCGCCCGUCAAGUCAUGGAAGCCGGGAGUGCCCGAAGUCGCUCUGAUUCAGGAGUGCCCACGGCAAGUUCGGUAACUGGGACUAAGUCGAAACAAGGUAG